AGGGAAUCUUCCGCAAUGGACGAAAGUCUGACGGAGCAACGCCGCGUGAGCGAUGAAGGCCUUCGGGUCGUAAAGCUCUGUUGUCAGGGAAGAACAAGUACCGGAGUAACUGCCGGUACCUUGACGGUACCUGACCAGAAAGCCACGGCUAACUACGUGCCAGCAGCCGCGGUAAUACGUAGGUGGCAAGCGUUGUCCGGAAUUAUUGAGCGUAAAGCGCGCGCAGGCGGUUCCUUAAGUCUGAUGUGAAAGCCCCCGGCUCAACCGGGGAGGGUCAUUGGAAACUGGGGAACUUGAGUGCAGAAGAGGAGAGCGGAAUUCCACGUGUAGCGGUGAAAUGCGUAGAGAUGUGGAGGAACACCAGUGGCGAAGGCGGCUCUCUGGUCUGUAACUGACGCUGAGGCGCGAAAGCGUGGGGAGCGAAC
rnacentral:rRNA from 1 species